AUCAUCGUGGGGGUCGGCCAGGCUGAGUUUGACGGUGAGGCUGUGCUCCCCCCGA
ensembl:miRNA MIR12252 microRNA mir-12252